GGAGGAGAAAAAAAAAAA
rnacentral:miRNA from 1 species